UGGGGAAUAUUGCACAAUGGGCGCAAGCCUGAUGCAGCCAUGCCGCGUGUGUGGAGAAGGCCUUCGGGUUGUAAAGCACUUUCAGCGGGGAGGAAGGCGUUAAGGUUAAUAACCUUGGCAAUUGACGUUACCGACAGAAGAAGCACCGGCUAACUCCGUGCCAGCAGCCGCGGUAAUACGGAGGGUGCAAGCGUUAAUCGGAAUUACUGGGCGUAAAGCGCACGCAGGCGGUUGAUUGAGUCAGAUGUGAAAUCCCCGGGCUUAACCCGGGAAUUGCAUCUGAUACUGGUCAGCUAGAGUCUUGUAGAGGGGGGUAGAAUUCCAUGUGUAGCGGUGAAAUGCGUAGAGAUGUGGAGGAAUACCGGUGGCGAAGGCGGCCCCCUGGACAAAGACUGACGCUCAGGUGCGAAAGCGUGGGGAGCAAACAGG
rnacentral:rRNA from 1 species